rnacentral:rRNA from 1 species
CCUACGGGAGGCAGCAGUGGGGAAUAUUGGACAAUGGGCGAAAGCCUGAUCCAGCAACGCCGCGUGAGGGAUGACGGCCUUCGGGUUGUAAACCUCUUUCAGUAGGGACGAAGCGAGAGUGACGGUACCUACAGAAGAAGGACCGGCCAACUACGUGCCAGCAGCCGCGGUAAUACGUAGGGUCCGAGCGUUGUCCGGAAUUAUUGGGCGUAAAGGGCUCGUAGGCGGUUUGUCGCGUCGGGAGUGAAAACUUGGGGCUUAACCCCAUUCGUGCUUCCGAUACGGGCAGACUAGAGGCAGGCAGGGGAGAACGGAAUUCCUGGUGUAGCGGUGGAAUGCGCAGAUAUCAGGAGGAACACCGGUGGCGAAGGCGGUUCUCUGGGCCUGUUCUGACGCUGAGGAGCGAAAGCAUGGGGAGCGAACAGGAUUAGAUACCCUGGUAGUCCAUGCCGUAAACGUUGGGCGCUAGGUGUGGGAUCCAUUCCACGGGUUCCGUGCCGCAGCUACGCAUAGCGCCCGCCGUCGGGAGGUACGGCCGCGAGGACGUAAACCUACAAAUAGAAGUUAGACGG